rnacentral:misc_RNA from 1 species
GCAACUCAUAUAUUUCUGCAUACUGUUGGGCAAAUAAAAAAAAUUCAAAUCAACAUAUAAGAAUUCCUGUUAGAAAAAACAGAGCAACAAAUUUACAAUGUAUGACAAAUCAUGCACUCUAAUAAUACAUUAAUGCCCAAAAAAAAAUCAUUGGUCAAUAUUUGAGAUACUAGAAACUGAAAUUGGCCAAGCAAAACAGAGAUUUGACAUGCCAAGUUGAAAUUUGUAAUUGCUAAAUUCCUCACCUGGCUAAAAGACAUGCAAUAAACUAAAUCCUUUUUGUUCAACAUAACACAGUUUAAAUGUCAUUCCAUCCCAACCAUUGCACUUGGAUACUUAAUUACCCUUGAUAUGAAAAUAGUAAGAGUAUAGAUCAACACUAGAAAGGAAACAAUUACUGAGGAGUUUCUUUCUUUCUUUCUUCCUCUUCUUACUUUUAUCCCCUCCUU